rnacentral:tRNA from 1 species
GGGUGCGUAGCUCAAUGGUUAGAGCAUUCGUCUUAUACACGAACGGUUCCUGGUUCGAGUCCAGGCGCACCCA